rnacentral:rRNA from 1 species
GACGAACGCUGGCGGCGUGCCUAAUACAUGCAAGUCGAGCGGACCAAAGGGAGCUUGCUCCUGGAGGUUAGCGGCGAACGGGUGAGUAACACGUGGGCAACCUGCCUGUAAGACUGGGAUAACAUCGAGAAAUCGGUGCUAAUACCGGAUAAUAAAAAGAACUGCAUGGUCUUUUUGAAAGAUGGUUUCGGCUAUCACUUACAGAUGGGCCCGCGGCGCAUUAGCUAGUUGGUGAGGUAACGGCUCACCAAGGCAACGAUGCGUAGCCGACCUGAGACGGUGAGUCGGCCACACUGGGACUGAGACACGGCCCAGACUCCUACGGGAGGCAGCAGUAGGGAAUCUUCCGC